rnacentral:misc_RNA from 1 species
GGUAAAUGAUUGCUCCUUUUAGCCCAUUAACAUGAUUUUCUUAGGUCUUUAUGUCUUGCACAUAAGCUAAGAAUCUCAUUCAAUCUCUUUUGUUGUUGAAACGGGAAAUACUUUUGAAGGAAUGAAAUGACACAAGCAAAAGAGAUUGUUGUUGAAAUAGAGGGACUCCCACUAACAUUUUUAUCUCAUAAAAGACACUGUUUUGUCUU